CCCUGAAAGAGUUAAGAGGAGGGCUCCUCCUUUCCUUUACAUAAGUCUCCUCCUGGGUGACCUUCCCAGCAGCCUUUGCUGGCUCUGCCCCAACCAAACAAAGAGGGCAGGAGCUUUUCAAACAACAGCCUCCCAUAAAGUUGGCUGCUGCAGAGCUGGGCUGUGCUGGGACCCUGGCACACCGGAGGAUGCGGCAGCGGCAGCAAGUUGGUGUCAUCACCUGGGAGGAUCCCGGCAGUCGCCUUUAGUCCCUGCUCGGGGCAGUGCCGUCUCCAGACCGGACGGUCAGGCUCUGCAGCACCAACGUUUCCAUGCAGUUGCUGUCAAACGUGGGCAUCCCCAGUUCUACUCAUCAUAACCUUCCAGGCCACCAAGGAGACGCAAGGCUCCAGCAGGGACCUGCCAGCCUUGUGUGAUGAACUGCCGCUUGCCAGGACUCACACUGAGCUCCUCGGGAUGCUGAGGUACUGCUCGGGACCCUGAUCACUCCCGAUUCCUCGCUGUGCUGCUGGCAGUGGGGAAUCGAUGUCCAGUUUGGGACACUGGGCAGAGCCGAUCCAUUACCAUUGUCUGUGUUCUUGAGGGACUGGGGCACUGGGCUGGACGCCACGCUCUGAGGGGGCUCCGCAUGAACAAGGGACAAGGUUUGGGCUGUCCCUAGUUGCUCGGGUGGGAAGACCUGCCUCCUUCCUCCUCUCUGUCUGGGAAGUGGGUCACUGCUGGAAGCUGGGGAUGUUGCCACGUGGAGCAGUGGCCAGGCCCAGCAGCCUGGUGGCAGAGAGCUAGCUGAGCCCGGACACCCUGGUGCUGCCCGGGGGGCUGCAGUGUCCCCACGGCAGCCCUGCUCCGGGGAUGUAGGUGCUGGGUGCAGGAGGUGCUGGGAGCGAUGGGCAGGCUGGACGACCAUGCCAAGAGGAGGAUCGUGGAGCUGCGCAGGGCUGGGCUGAGCUUCCGCAAGAUCAAGAAGGUGCUGGAGCUGGACGACAUCCAGGUGACGCCGCAGGCUGUGUACCUCUUCCUCAAGCGUAAGAGCGUGGAGCCGGGGCCGGUGGCAGCUGGCUGGGAUGGGGACCAGCCCUGGCCACCACUGCCAGGGCAUGAGGCUGAGCCACCCGAGCUGCUAGGUGCCCGGCCCCCGACAAUGCCUGGCGGGGUCCCUGCGGGCAGCCGAGUCCCCUGCCCUGCUGGUGGCCAGGACACCAAGGAGGGCAUCCAAAUUGUCGGCGUGGCCUCACUGUGCAAGGAUGGCAGGCAGCUCAGGGAGAACCUGCCUGUGGGACUGCCCCCCAGGAAUGAUGAUGACAGCUCUGCAGGUUCUCCCUUGGCUCCAGGGAGCUGCCACCCUCUGGGGAUGCCAGCCACCCCCCCACAGUCCCUGCCCAGCCCAGGGCGGUUGGUUGCACCCCCUGCCAGGAACCCAGCCCUGAUGGUGAAGAAGAAGAUGGUGGACAGGGCUAUCCUCCUGCAGAAAACGGUCACAGAUGCCAGCACUCAAACUGCCCUGCUGAACCCUGCAAGUCCUGGAAAUCAAAGCACUGCUUGGGCAGGACCAGUACUUCCCCCUGCUCCCAGCUCCAUUGCUGAAAAGCUGGAUGCUGUACAGAUGGAGGUCCAGAAGCUGAGCCAGGCCCUGCAGGCAGUGCUGGAGCGGCAAUGCCGCUUGGAGCGGCAGCAGGAGCACCAGCAACGGCUGCAGCAGGAGGUGCUGAUGACACUGCAGCAGCUCAGUUCCACCGUGAGCCACAGCAUGGUGCCAGCUAACCAGCCCUGUGUCCCCUUCAGCAGUAUGGCUGAGCCCUCGCCCACUGUGCCAAGCUUCAGCCAGUUCAAGAUGGAGCUCAUCUGACCUCACCUGAUGCCAGUAUGCUCCAGCAGUGCUACACUGGUGGCAGGAUGAAGUCAUGAAGAAGAACCCCCUCUCAGAGGCUGUGGCAGCUGCCUAAAGAUUAUUUGGAGCACCCAGCAGAGAAGGUCACUGGUGUCUCAUGUUUUCAGCCCUGUUGAUUGAAAAGAAAGAGCUGCCUGGGACAAGGGGCAGGGCAAUGGAAAGAUGAGGCCUUGCUUCUCCCAUGCUGCCCAUCCUGGCUGACACUGGAGCUGGCUGGUGGCAGGCUGCCUGCAAGUAGAAGAUACAACUAAGAGAGACACACUAGGGAGGUGGGUCUCAAAGAAAAUGUGAGGCUUCCUCUCACGUGGGUCAGUGCCAUGACGAUGAAUCACAGAAAUGCUUUGUGCCCUCUCUCCACAGAGCCUUGUUCAGUAAAAAUCUCCAUACACCAUGGUUCAGAAACUGUGGGGUCUCAUUCUUCAUCUUACCUACCCCUUACCCCACCAGCGAACAGGUUGGAUCUGUCUU
rnacentral:lncRNA from 1 species